rnacentral:rRNA from 1 species
AACCAGCACCUCGAGUGGUCAGGAGUUUUAUUGGGCCUAAAGCAUCCGUAGCCGGUUGCAUAAGUUUUCGGUUAAAUCUAUGCGCUCAACGUAUAGACCGCCGAAAAUACUGUGCAGCUAGGGAGUGGGAGAGGUACACGGUACUCGAUAGGAUGGGGUAAAAUCCUUUGAUCUAUUGAUGACCACCUGUGGCGAAGGCGGUGUACCAGAACACGUUCGACGGUGAGGGACGAAAGCUGGGGGAGCGAACCGG